CGGGGAUUGCCCCAGUAACGGCGAGUGAAGCGGCAACAGCUCAGAUUUGAAAUCCGGCGCCCCCCGGGGCGCCCGAGUUGUAAUCUGCAGAGGAUGCUCCUGGCGCGGCGCCGUCCGAGUUCCCUGGAACGGGACGCCGCAGAGGGUGAGAGCCCCGUACGGUCGGACGCCCAGCCUGUGUGGAGCCCCUUCGGCGAGUCGAGUAGUUUGGGAAUGCUGCUCAAAACGGGAGGUAUACGCCUUCUAAAGCUAAAUACCGGCCAGAGACCGAUAGCGCACAAGUAGAGUGAUCGAAAGAUGAAAAGCACUUUGAAAAGAGGGUUAAACAGUACGUGAAAUUGUUGAAAGGGAAGCGCUCGCGGCCAGACUCGGGCCCGGCGGAUCAUCCGGCGCUCGCGCCGGUGCACUCCGCCGGGCUCCGGGCCAGCAUCGGCCCGCGGCGGGGGACAAAGGCGCCGGGAACGUGGCUCCCUAGGGAGUGUUAUAGCCCGGCGCGCAACGCCCCGCGGCGGGCCGAGGUUCGCGCGUCCGCAAGGAUGCUGGCGUAAUGGCCACCAGCGACCCGUCUUGAAACACGGACCAAGGAGUCGUCCUCGCAUGCGAGUGUUCGGGCGUCAAACCCGUGCGCGCAAUGAAAGUGAACGCGGGUGGGAGCCCCCCUGGGGCGCACCGCCGACCGAUCCUGAAGUUCACGGAUGGAUUUGAGUAGGAGCAUGCGGGGCCGGACCCGAAAGAAGGUGAACUAUGCCUGUGUAGGGUGAAGCCAGAGGAAACUCUGGUGGAGGCUCGCAGCGGUUCUGACGUGCAAAUCGAUCGUCAAACAUGGGCAUGGGGGCGAAAGACUAAUCGAACCUUCUAGUAGCUGGUUCC
rnacentral:rRNA from 1 species